CACAGCUGCGCUAUUUCGCUGGCCUCGAAUACGUUUGUUAAGCUCGGUUUCAUCACCGGGAUUAUUUUGACCCAAGGGGCCUGCAGCUCUAAACCUUUAAUGAUAUUUACCACUAGUAUUCGUUUAGUAUUUCGUGGUAUUUUAUGUAUCGUAGCAACCUUGGCGGCAAAUAAAUGAAAGAUGCUGUUGACAGAAUCUGAACACUUGUCACUACCCUUCGUUUUCAUCAGAGUGUUUGUGAAUUGUAGAACAAAUCAAACAUGUUAAGUUCUUACUGAAAGGGGAGGAAACAUUCUGUGUGACGCUCGGAGUGAAACAAAAACGAAAUGAUCAGAUGUUUCUUUGAAAGUUACAUGCUAGGAUGUUACUCGUAGAGAUGCUUCUGUAGUCUCUAAAAAGGCUACCUUAUGAUCUCGACACCGACGUGCCAAGCCAACUAUAACCAGGAAGUAAACAUGCAGAUAUCGCCAUGACCAUAUGUAUGAGGCAUCCAGAGUACUCCACUCCAACGCUCCAAAAGUGAAGCGAGUAGCAUAAAUACCGUACUUUUAGGGUGAAUUUUGUACUUUCUUGAAAAAUAGUUUGCAACCGGCCGUUUGGAAGACGUGCACCGUAUUUUUGGAAUGAAUUUUGUACUUUCUUUGACAAAAGAAAUGUUAUCCUGUAUAACAGCUCUCAAUAAAAAUAAAGCGGCAUGUAAUCAA